AUGGCGCUCACCACCCGCAGAGGCGGCGGCGCCGACCAACCCAGCCUCGGCUUCCUCACGAACCGCGACACGGAGGUCAGGCUCCCCCGCGCGACGCGGGUGAAGAACAAGGCGCCGGCGGGGGUCCAGAUCACGGCUGAGCAGAUCCUCCGGGAGGCCCGGGAGCUGCAGGAGCCCGAGAUCCGCCCGCCCAGGCAGAGGAUAACCGACGCCGACGAGCUCGCGGACUACCGGCUCGGCGAGCGCAAGCGAUUCGAAGGCCUCGUCACUCGCGGCGGCGUCGCUGCGUGGGUCAAGUAUGCUCGGUGGGAGGAGGGGCAGGGAGACCUCGCGCGGGCUCGCUCCGUCUACGAGCGCGCCCUGGACCUGGACGCCGCCCGCCGCGACCACGCGCUGUGGCUCAAGUACGCCGAGUUCGAGAUGCGCAGCCGGUGCGUCAACCACGCGAGGAACGUCUGGGACCGCGCCGUCUCGCUCCUCCCCCGCGUCGACCAGCUGUGGCACAAUUACAUCCACAUGGAGGAGCUGCUUGGUGCCGUCGCCAAUGCUCGCUGGCUCUUUGAGCGCUGGAUGGGAUGGCGUCCCGACAUUGCUGCCUGGAACUCGUACAUCAAGUUCGAGCUGCGGUAUGGGGAGGUUGAGCGCGCAAGGGCGAUCUACCAGCGGCUCGUCGCCGAGCACCCGCGGCCCGAUACGUUCAUCCGAUAUGCCAAGUUCGAGAUGGAACACGGAGGAACAGAGCAGGCACGUCGCGUGUACGAGCGUGCAUCUGAACUGCUUGUGGACGAUGAAGAUGCAGAGUUGUUGUUUGUAGCAUUUGCUGAGUUUGAGGAAAAUCGCCCGGAGGUGGAGCGGGUUCGUGCAAUAUACAAGUAUGCGCUUGACAGAGUGCCCAAGGGCAAGGCUGAUGACCUUUACAGGAAGUUCCUAGCAUUUGAGAAACGAUUUGGUGACCGUGAAGGGAUUGAGGAUGCCGUUGUGAGAAAGCAGAGAUUCCAAUAUGAAGAUGAGGUGAGGAAGAACCCGCUCAAUUACGACUCGUGGUUCGAUUACAUCAGGCUGGAGGAGAGCGCCGGUAAUAAGGACAGGAUCAGGGAUGUGUACGAGAGGGCUAUAGCAAACGUCCCCCCUGCACAAGAGAAGCGGUACUGGCAGAGGUAUAUAUACCUUUGGAUAAACUAUGCUCUAUAUGAGGAACUUGAUGCACAGGACAUGGAGAGGACCAGGGAGGUCUAUAGGGCGUACCUGAAACUCAUUCCACACAAGAAGUUUACAUUUGCGAAGUUGUGGCUGAUGGCCGCGCAGUUUGAGAUAAGGCAGAAGAACAUAAAGGCCGCACGGCGGAUUCUCGGCAAUGCAAUAGAGUACAUUGAGAUCGAGCUUCAUAUCGGCAAUUUCGACCGUUGUAGAACUCUAUAUGAGAAGUAUAUCGAAUGGUCUCCAGCAAACUGUUAUGCCUGGAGGAAGUAUGCUGAACUCGAAAAGAACCUCAGCGAGGCUGACCGCGCUCGGUCAGUAUAUGAGCUUGGUAUCACACAGCCAUCCCUUGAUACGCCUGAGGUUCUAUGGAAGGAGUACUUGCAGUUUGAAAUUGAUGAAGGUGAAUUUGGUAGGGCAAGGGAACUUUAUGAGAGACUGCUUGAUAGAACAAAGCAUCUGAAGGUAUGGAUCAGCUACGCCGAAUUCGAGGCCUCGGCUGGCUUGGCAGAAGACAAUGGAAGUGAGGUGAAUAAGAAUGAUGCUUGUUACCAGGAUCAGCAGAUCGAGCGGGUCCGGAUGUGUCGAGCUGUCUUUGAAAGGGCAUUCGACUACUUCAGGACCAAUGCUGCAGAGCUAAAGGAAGAAAGAGCAAUGCUCCUGGAAGAAUGGCUCAAAAAAGAGUUGGGUUUUGGUGAUCUUGGUGAUGUCGCCCUAGUGCAGAAGAAGGCGCCAAGGAAAGUCAAGAGGAAGAGACCACUGCCCACAGAUGAUGGCUCCAAUGUUGCGUACGAGGAGUACGUUGAUUAUAUCUUCCCUGAUGAAGUCACGCCGGCAUCGAACCUCAAGAUAUCGGCAGCUGCUUACAAGUGGAAGAAGCAGAAGGCUUUUUGA
rnacentral:rRNA from 1 species